GAUGAACGCUGGCGGUAUGCUUAACACAUGCAAGUCGAACGGGGUGCAUAGUCACCUAGUGGCGGACGGGUGAGUAACGCGUGAGAAUCUGGCCUCAGGUCCGGGACAACCACGGGAAACGGUGGCUAAUACCGGAUGUGCCAUAUUGGUGAAAGAUUAAUUGCCUGAGGAUGAGCUCGCGUCUGAUUAGCUAGUUGGUGGGGUAAAGGCUUACCAAGGCGACGAUCAGUAACUGGUCUGAGAGGAUGACCAGUCACACUGGGACUGAGACACGGCCCAGACUCCUACGGGAGACAGCAGUGGGGAAUUUUCCGCAAUGGGCGAAAGCCUGACGGAGCAAUACCGCGUGAGGGAGGAAGGCUCUUGGGUUGUAAACCUCUUUUCUCAGGGAAGAAGAAUGACGGUACCUGAGGAAUCAGCAUCGGCUAACUCCGUG
rnacentral:rRNA from 1 species